rnacentral:rRNA from 1 species
UACGAAGGGGGGCUAGCGUUGCUCGGAAUCACUGGGCGUAAAGCGCACGUAGGCGGCUUUUUAAGUCAGGGGUGAAAUCCUGGAAGCUCAACUCCAGAACUGCCUUUGAUACUGAGAAGCUUGAGUCCGGGAGAGGUGAGUGGAACUGCGAGUGUAGAGGUGAAAUUCGUAGAUAUUCGCAAGAACACCAGUGGCGAAGGCGGCUCACUGGCCCGGUACUGACGCUGAGGUGCGAAAGCGUGGGGAGCAAACAGG